CCCGGGAAAGUCCAUGAAUGAGUUCAUAAUUCCUGUUUAAGGAAAAUUCGUUUCUUGUUCAAUUGUGAAUCGCAGAAAAAAAAAAGAAAAGAAAAACAGGUCAAGGGCGCGCGCUUAGAGAACCAGGUGCGGGCGCUCUCGUGGGCGCCAAACCACAUGAUACGAGCAGCCAGCCAUCCGAUCGCGGAAGUGCGACUUUUUUUGGACCGUGGAGGCGGGAGGGGGGGGUAGACUGGGGGAGGAAAGGAAGGCAGAGCCGAAAAGAAAAGUUUCAUGAUAUUACUCGCACUCGACGUGGAAAUGAGCCUGGCGAGACCAGUGCUUUAUUGGGUGUCUGGACCGUCUUUUGUUCCUCAAAUGUGAUAUUUUCAGCAGUUGAUCUGAACAGAGCAGGACCGGAAUCGAGGGGCAGAGAGGAGAGAAAGCGAUCGGAUUCAGCCGUGGCAUAUCUGAAGCAGUAUUCACCACUGAAGGCAGCAGUUUCGUCCCAGCCUGCCCUCUGUCUCCUGUCAUGAGGCUACAGUGUUGUCAUCCUGAAGGUUUGUUUUGGAAGAUACCUUUUGUGCAGAUGUUGGGUGAGAACUUUGGCCUUUACUAGAACAACAAGCAGCAGUGACAUGUAGGUGGUCAACUCUUGAGUCAGUCAACAGGAUGUUGGUUAGGUUUGCAACAAAGCAAGUAGUUCAGCUGCAUGUAGAAGAGCAUGGACAGAUAGUGAAGCCACAUGGAUGAUAUAAAGCGAUAAUCAAAAAAGCUUUACAUGUGGUGGGAAGUUGAAAUGUCAUGAUGCUUUUAUUACACACAAACCACAUGCAGCAUGCAUUGUCUUUUGUUUCUCUCUCUUCCUCUCUUUCUCACAACUUGAUUGGUUGUCUUGUACCCAUAAAAGUAUAGGGAGGGGCAUUUCCUGUUCAAUUCUGACCAUCUUCUGUGUUUCCUUCAACAGACACAAGCACACACAUGCAGACUAGCUUAAAAUCGGUCAGUAAAUAAUAAAAUAUUGAUUUAUUGUGCA
ensembl:lncRNA